GUGGGUACAGCUCAGUGGUAGCGCAUGUGCUCAGCAUGCACGAGGUCCUGGGCUCAAUCCCCAGUACCUCCA
rnacentral:tRNA from 1 species